rnacentral:rRNA from 1 species
UACGAAGGGUGCAAGCGUUACUCGGAAUUACUGGGCGUAAAGCGUGCGUAGACGGUUAUGUAAGUCAGGUGUGAAAGCCCCGGGCUCAACCUGGGAAUUGCAUUUGAGACUGCAUAGCUAGGGUGCGGAAGAGGGAAGCGGAAUUUCCGGUGUAGCGGUGAAAUGCGUAGAUAUCGGAAGGAACAUCAGUGGCGAAAGCGGCUUCCUGGUCCAGCACCGACGUUCAGGCACGAAAGCGUGGGGAGCAAACAGG